GCUUCAAAAUUUAUCGAACUUAUCGAGAUGAUUUCUUGUGGUGUUCAACCUACCAAAGUGAGAUUCGUAAAUUGGGUAAUCACGGAGUCAAGGUAUUCUCGUAAUUGUCUUGAUUUCUGAUUUGAUAGUUUAUUGAAUUGAGCUUUUAAAUUUCGGAUUUUCGAUUCUUUAAUUGUGUAAUUAAAAGGUCUAUAUGUCCUAUUGACUGCAUGAAUUGUUUAAUCCAUUAUUUCGAGUCAAAUUCCAUAAAUCUUGUUGUUUGGAACUUUCCUGGGUUUGAUUCAAGUUCGUUGUGGGUUCUGUAGUGUUUGUUGCUACGCGGGUUCGCAUCAGCAUGAUGUUUCAGAAUGGGUGAAUCAUCAUCCAGGUGGUGAGCACCCACUUUUGAAUCUUGCUGGCCAAGAUGCGACUGACGCAUUUGUUGCCUUUCAUCCAGGUAGUGCUUGGCAAUAUCUUGAUAAAUUCUUUGAUGGAGUUUACUUAGAAGAUAAUUCUAUUUCUGAUACAUCCAAGGAUUAUAGGAAGCUUGUUUAUGAGUUUUCAAAAAUGGGGCUUUUUGACAAGAAAGGGCAUACUGUUUCUUCACUAUGUGUUUGAUAAUACUGCUUUUUGCGGUGAGUGUUUAUGGUGUUCUUUGCUGUGAGACCACGCUAGUGCAUUUGAUUUCUGGUGGUUUAAUGGGAUUUUUUUGGAUCCAGAGUGGUUGGUUUGGUCAUGAUUCUGGGCAUCACCAUAUUAUGCUAACACCAAGUUUUAACAGAUUUGCUCAAGUUCUUACAGGAAAUUGCUCAAAAGAAAAAAAAAAAAAAAAAAGGAUUGAAAAUUGAUUGAUUUAUUGAAAUA
rnacentral:lncRNA from 1 species